GCGACCCUCUCCCUCAACACGGACAAAACCGAACCCUAAACGCCUCUCCGUCGCGAACUUCUCCCUCUUUGCAACAAAGCCCUAAACGCCUCUCCACGAAUCCCCUCUCUCCGAUGCCUCUCGGCGAACCUUCCUUCCUCUGCGACGAAAUCCUUUCUACUACCACCGGUGACUUUGUUCUUCCGCCUCGUUGUUCAGAGUUUUCAAGGUUAAAUCGGUUUUCCUUUCGAUUCUAGUCUUCUCAUUCUUCAAUAGAUUCUGAUUCUAAUUUUCCUUUUGUUUUGCUUCAUUUUGCUUUCAGAGUUUUCAAGGGUUUUUCAACAGUUCUCUUCGUUGUUUCCGCCAUCAUUACGUUCAAGUCUUAAUCAAUAUGUAUCCCUAUUUCUUCAGUAAGUAGAUCCGAACUAUGUUUAUCUCAAUCUUAAUUUUCUAUGAUGUGUGAUACUGUGGUUUCUAAGCUUCGAUUUGGAAUCUGGUAGUUCUGUCCCGAAUUUGCGAUUAGACAAUUUUUUCCCACGUUCUUAAUGCUUGUAGAUUUCUCCACACAUUUAGUUAUCAGUAACUUAUUUAACACCAGUGAUAAUUUAUUCUAGUUAAAUAUAUGAAAUAAGGUAUAAAGAGGUGCUUUUGGUAAAGGUACUUUAAUCUACUGUUCAAUAUCCGCUAAUUUUUGUCAAAUAGAGUCAUACUCUCGUGGAAAUUUGUCUUUGAAAUAACCGAAAUCCCUAAUUUUAUCUUUACCAUUCUGAUUGUAGGAAACUCUCCAGUGUAUGUACAUGUUUUGGAUAUAGAGAUUGGGAACAUGUAGGAAAGCAUUCUAAAUCUGAAUUACCACUUUUGAUGGUUAUGUAAGUUUAUAAUAUAUUUUUGUUGGAUUGCAUACUCUUUAUUUGAUAGNNNNNNNNNNNNNCAUGUACUGAUUGCUUGUAGAAUUUUUGCUUGUGCUUUUUCUCUUCUAAUUUGGUAGUUUAGAAGCAGUGAUGAUUCUUAUGGACGAUUGUACUUUUUAGCAAUAUUGUGAUCAGAAUUUUGUAUUCUAUGUAGGUUAUACAUUUUAUGGAUAUGGUUAUACUUGAAGAACCAAUAGAGGGGUAUCAUUAGUUGAAGCUUGUUUGGAAUCUUCAUUUUUAGUUCUCUUCAUUGACCAACUUAUUAAAAUGAUAUACUAUUCUCAAGUUCUAUCAAUAGACAGACAUUGAUUAUUAUCAUAACUUUCAGGAUAUAUUACAAACUCAAUGGCACUAAGGAUUGGUUGCUUUAAUCAAAGGAAUUUUCUAUUUGUCAUGCGAGAAGUUAAAGUUUGAAAUAAUAUGGUUGGUCUCUUGAACCCUUAAGUUAGCAUGUGAAAAAUUUAAAUUGAACGUGAUGUAUUGUCAGACACUAUUUAUUGUGAGUAUAUAAGUUUUGUUUGUCUUUAGCUUUAGAGCAUACCCUUUUGUUUGUCUUUAGUUAGCAUUUGGUAGAAUUAGAAAAUGUGUCUAAUGCUUAGUAUAUAUCAUAAGUAAAACCGAUACUAUUCUUUGGCACUGAUCUAUUGAUUUGUUCUUUUCUAUUGUGAUUCUUUCUUAUCUUGUAGACAUUUCCUGUUAUGUUUUUAUGGAAUAAUUGGCAAUUGGCAUGACUUAGUUUUUGCAAGGAGUUGAAAAAUUUAAGAGUUAAAGGUAAUAUCUAUAUCUUAUAUAAAGAUCUUUCUUGAUUGAAUCUUCCUGUAUAUUAAGACUUUAGAAGUUUCACCACGGAGGUGAUGGUGAUGAGUUUGUCAGAAUAUUAUUUCAUCAUUUGAAAAGAUUGUGCAGUAUAGAGAGGCUAGAUAGAACACUAGUAAGGUUUAUGAUGCCAUCAUCAACCGAAAAGUAUGUAGAUUGGAAUAAAGACUCAUUUUUUAAAUUAAUUAUAUCUUUAUAGGUGAAAAAAAGAUCAUAUCUAACUCUUAAAUGCCACCAUCUUUGUUUCAUUGUAGAGAGGGCUGAUGUUUAAGUUUCAAUUUCCCAUCUUGGUUGAUUGCUAGUUAACUAUGUGUUGGUAAUCAUUAUCAUAGUAUUUUAAAGAGAUUUAUUCAAUUAUCAUACUUGAGUACCGCUGCUAGUUGUCUUACAGCAAUAGGUUGGAUAUUAUAUAUAGGGAGCUUUUGUAACAUUACUCUUGUGCUUCCAGAGACUGGUUUAUGAAUGACUUUUGGGGAUUUGAGAUUUUGAUUUAUGCAGAAAUUUUGGGACUGUUUUAUUCAUGUAUUAAUUAAGCUUGUUUUGUUGUCUGUUUUAGAUCAUCAAACACUGCUACAAAUGUCAUUCAGACACCUUCACAAG
rnacentral:lncRNA from 1 species